rfam:Daucus carota subsp. sativus cultivar DH1 chromosome 8, whole genome shotgun sequence.
GUGAAGAAUCUGUGAAGCUCAGGAGGGAUAGCGCCAACAAAAUAACAUAUGCAUGGUGAUCUCUAUUCCUGAAUGUGUGUAUUUGUUCAAACUGUCGCGCUAUCCAUCCUGAGUUUCAUAGCUUUUUCAU